rnacentral:rRNA from 1 species
AUUGAACGCUGGCGGCGUGCCUAACACAUGCAAGUCGAGCGGUAACAGGUGUAGCAAUACAUGCUGACGAGCGGCGGACGGGUGAGUAACGCUUGGGAAUCUGCCUAUUAGUGGGGGACAACCCGGGGAACUCGGGCUAAUACCGCAUACGCACUACGGUGGAAAGCCGGGGACCGCAAGGCCUGGCGCUAACAGAUGAGCCCAAGUCGGAUUAGCUAGUUGGUAGGGUAACGGCCUACCAAGGCGACGAUCCGUAACUGGUCUGAGAGGACGACCAGUCACACCGGAACUGAGACACGGUCCGGACUCCUACGGGAGGCAGCAGUGGGGAAUAUUGGACAAUGGGCGAAAGCCUGAUCCAGCGACGCCGCGUGGGUGAAGAAGGCCUGCGGGUUGUAAAGCCCUUUCAGUGGGGAAGAAAAGCCUCGAGCUAACACCUCGGGGUCUUGACGUAACCCAUAGAAGAAGCACCGGCUAACUCUGUGCCAGCCGCCGCAGUAAG